CCCUUAGAUGUUCUGGGCAGCACGCGCGCUACAAUGGGUGGAAGAACGUGUUACUGCCUCCGAAAGUAGGGGUGAAUCACGAAUUCUUGCCCGUGAAUGGGAUAGUUUGUUGCAAUUUUCGGACUUGAACUAGGAAUCCCUUGUAAACAUGCUCAAGAAUAGCGUGUUGAAUACGUCCCUGCCGUUUGUACACACCGCCCGUCGUUUCUUCCGACUGAUACUCAUUGUGAGUUGCAAGGACCCUUUAUUGGGAAAUUGCUGCAAAUGCUUUGUAUUGGAGGAAGAAAAAGUCGUAAC
rnacentral:rRNA from 1 species